AGGGUUUGAUCAUGGCUCAGAUUGAACGCUGGUGGUAUGCUUAACACAUGCAAGUCGAACGGUAACAUUGGAGCUUGCUCCAGAUGACGAGUGGCGGACGGGUGAGUAACGCGUAGGAAUCUGCCUAGUAGUGGGGGACAACAUGUGGAAACGCAUGCUAAUACCGCAUACGCCCUACGGGGGAAAGCGAGGGAUCUUCGGACCUCGCGCUAUUAGAUGAGCCUGCGUUAGAUUAGCUAGUUGGUGGGGUAAUGGCCUACCAAGGCGACGAUCUAUAGCUGGUCUGAGAGGACGAUCAGCCACACUGGGACUGAGACACGGCCCAGACUCCUACGGGAGGCAGCAGUGGGGAAUAUUGGACAAUGGGCGAAAGCCUGAUCCAGCAAUACCACGUGUGUGAAGAAGGCCUGAGGGUUGUAAAGCACUUUCAAUUGGGAGGAAAACAGCUGGGUUAAUAGCCCUGCUCUUGACAUUACCUUUAGAAGAAG
rnacentral:rRNA from 1 species